rnacentral:misc_RNA from 1 species
GACAGAGACUACGAGCGUUAUCGGAAGUGACUGGGCGUAAAGGAUCCGUAGGCGGCACGGCGCGUCGUCGGUGAAAGCUCCGGGUUAACCCGGAAGACGCUGACGAUACGGCCGAGCUAGAGGAUAUCAGGGGCUGAUGGAACUCACGGUGGAGGGGUGGAAUCCGUUGAGAUCGUGGGGAACACCAAAGGCGAAGGCAUUCAGCUGGGAUACUCCUGACGCUGAGGGAUGAAAGCGUGGGGAGCAAACAGG